rnacentral:tRNA from 1 species
GAGACGCUAGUCCAACUAAGACAGCU